ensembl:ncRNA C43D7.15 ncRNA
AUUUCGAAAAAUUAAAUCUAACGUCCCGAACAUUGUGAACAAUUUUGAGUAAUUCAAUUUUUGGUGGCCUAGAAACCCAAAAUUUGGAUUUCUAGGCCACCAACUCCAAACGUGCUUAACUUGAUUCAAAAUCAAGGAAUUGAGAUAUU